GUCUAUGGCCAUGCCACAAUAAACAAGCCUUAUCCUGUCUGAUCUCGGAAGCUAAGCAGGGUCGGGACUGGUUAGUACUUGGAUGGGAGACCACCUAGGAAGACCAGACGCUGUAGGCU
rnacentral:rRNA from 1 species